rnacentral:rRNA from 1 species
UACGAGGGGUGCAAACGUUAUUCGGAUUUAUUGGGUGUAAAGGGUGUGUAGGUGGUUUAUUAAGUUCGUUGUUAAAACUUUCGGCCUAACCGGAAGCUCGCGGUGAAAACUGAUAGACUAGAGGGUGAAAGAGAGGAGUGGAAUUCUCGGAGUAGCGGUAAAAUGCGUAGAUCUCGAGAGGAACACCGAUGGCGAAAGCAGCUCCUUGGUUCACACCUGACAUUGAAACACGAAAGCGUGGGGAGCAAACAGG